AUGUUCUCUGCAGCUCUGAUACUGCUGUUUGUUGCUGGAUCCUGUGUUAAAGGUCAGACUCUGACAGAAUCUGAACCAGCAGUUAAACGACCUGGAGAUUCUCACAGAUUGACCUGCACAGUCUCUGGAUUCUCACUCAGCAGCUACUGGAUGCACUGGAUCAGACAGGCUCCUGGAAAAGGACUGGAGUGGAUCGCUGCUGAUGGUGGUGGUGGUAGCAAAUACUACUCUCAGUCAGUUCAAGGCCGGUUUACCAUCUCCAGAGACAACAGCAGACAGCAGCUGUAUCUGCAGAUGAGCAGCCUGAAGACUGAAGAUUCUGCUGUUUAUUAUUGUGCUCGAGACUCACAGUGA